UACGUAGGGCGCAAGCGUUGUCCGGAAUUAUUGGGCGUAAAGAGCUCGUAGGCGGUCUGUCGCGUCCGUUGUGAAAACUCGAGGCUCAACCUCGGGCUUGCAGUGGAUACGGGCAGACUAGAGUGCGGUAGGGGAGACUGGAAUUCCUGGUGUAGCGGUGGAAUGCGCAGAUAUCAGGAGGAACACCGAUGGCGAAGGCAGGUCUCUGGGCCGCAACUGACGCUGAGGAGCGAAAAGCGUGGGGAGCAAACAGG
rnacentral:rRNA from 1 species